rnacentral:rRNA from 1 species
UAAUACCCCAUAGGUCUCAGAUACUGGAAUGUUCUGAGGCUCAAAGCUCCGGCACGAUAGGAUGGGUCUGCGGCCGAUUAGUUAGUAGGCGGUGUAAUGGACCACCUAGACUAUAAUCGGUAAGGGUCAUGGGAGUGAUAGCCCUGAGACGGAAUCUGAGACACUAUUCCGAGCCUUACGGGGUGCAGCAGGCGCGAAAACUUUGCAAUGCACGAAAGUGCGACAAGGGGACUCCAAGUGUGCAUAUACCAUAUGCACUUUUUCAGAGCUUAAAACGCUCUGGGAAUAAGGGGUGGGCAAGACUAGUGCCAGCCGCCGCGGUAAAACUAGCAUCUCGAGUGGCAGUCACCAUUACUGGGCUUAGAGCGUCCGUAGCUCGCUCGGAAAGUCCCUGGUGAAAUCCUACGGCUCAACCGUAGGGCUUGCCGGGGAAACUAACGGGCUUGAGGGCGGGAGAGGUCGGGGGUACUUCGGGGGUAGGGGUGAAAUCCUUUAAUCCUCGAAGGACCAACAGUGGCGAAGGCGCCCGACAUGAACGUGCCUGACAGUGAGGGACGAGAGCCAGGGUCGCGAAACGGAUUAGAUACCCGUGUAGUCCUGGCCGUAAACGAUGCUGACUAGGUGGGGUGUGACCCUAGAGGUCAUGCUAUGCCGAAGGGAAACCGUUAAGUCAGCCGCCUGGGGAGUACGACCGCAAGGUUGAAACUUAAAGGAAUUGGCGGGGGAGCACUACAAGGGGUGGAAGCUGCGGUUUAAUUAGAUUCAACGCUGGACAUCUCACCGGAGGCGACAGC